UACGGAGGGUGCGAGCGUUAUUCGGAUUCACUGGGCGUAAAGCGCGCGUAGGCGGUUUGGUAAGUCUGAUGUGAAAGCCCACGACUUAAUCGUGGAAGUGCAUUGGAUACUGCCAGACUAGAGUACAGGAGAGGAGGAUGGAAUUCCCGGUGUAGAGGUGAAAUUCGUAGAUAUCGGGAGGAACAACAGUGGCGAAGGCGAUCCUCUGGACUGUCACUGACGCUGAGGUGAGAAAGUGUGGGGAGCAAACAGG
rnacentral:rRNA from 1 species